rnacentral:rRNA from 1 species
UACGUAGGCAGCAAGCGUUGUUCGGAGUUAUUGGGCGUAAAGAGCUCGUAGGCGGCUUGUCGCGUCGACUGUGAAAACUUGGGGCUCAACCCCAAGCCUGCAGUCGAUACGGGCAGGCUAGAGUUCGGUAGGGGAGACUGGAAUUCCUGGUGUAGCGGUGAAAUGCGCAGAUAUCAGGAGGAACACCGAUGGCGAAGGCAGGUCUCUGGGCCGAUACUGACGCUGAGGAGCGAAAGCGUGGGGAGCGAACAGG